CAUCAUGCCCCUUAUUGACCUAGGUGCUACACACGUGUCUGCAAGUGCGACACGUACAAAGGGCAGCGAAACCGCGAGGUUAAGCCAAUCCCACAAAUCUGUUCUCAGUUCGGAUCGCAGUCUGCAACUCGACUGCGUGAAGCUGGAAUCGCUAGUAAUCGCGGAUCAGCAUGCCGCGGUGAAUACGUUCCCGGGCCUUGUACACACCGCCCGUCACACCACGAGAGUUUGUAACACCCGAAGUCGGUGAGGUAACCUUUAUGGAGCCAGCCGCCGAAGGUGGGACAGAUGAUUGGGGUGAAGUCGUAACAAGGUAGCCGUAUCGGAAGGUGCGGUUGGAGCACGUCCUGACUUUAUGGA
rnacentral:rRNA from 1 species